AGUGAACGCUGGCGGUAGGCCUAACACAUGCAAGUCGAACGGCAGCACAGUAAGAGCUUGCUCUUACGGGUGGCGAGUGGCGGACGGGUGAGGAAUACAUCGGAAUCUACUUUUUCGUGGGGGAUAACGUAGGGGAACUUACGCUAAUACCGCAUACGACCUACGGGUGAAAGCAGUGGAUCUUCGGACCUUGCGCGAUUGAAUGAGCCGAUGUCGGAUUAGCUAGUUGGCGGGGUAAAGGCCCACCAAGGCGACGAUCCGUAGCUGGUCUGAGAGGAUGAUCAGCCACACUGGAACUGAGACACGGUCCAGACUCCUACGGGAGGCAGCAGUGGGGAAUAUUGGACACUGGGCGCAAGCCUGAUCCAGCCAUACCGCGUGGGUGAAGAAGGCCUUCGGGUUGUAAAGCCCUUUUGUUGGGAAAGAAAAGCAGCAGGUUAAUACCCCGCUGUUCUGACGGUACCCAAAGAAUAAGCACCGGCUAACUUCGUG
rnacentral:rRNA from 1 species